AUCACUAUGGUAACUUGCAAGCAACUCACUGUACUUUGAUGUCAGACUAUCUAAAUUUAUAAUUCAGUGAUAGAAUAUUUUUGGGUACAGUCAAGUACUUGUCAAGUCAGUACGUGAGUCAAGAUGAAAUUGACCCCUCUGAAUUAGUAGGAGUUAAUGUAUCAAUGUAUUUCAAUUUAGCUAAACCAAGGCUCGGAUAAUCUAUAUGAUGGAUUUGAAAGAUUGAAAUAUAAUAUGGAUGAC
rnacentral:lncRNA from 1 species